AGUGAACGCUGGCGGUAGGCCUAACACAUGCAAGUCGAACGGCAGCACAGUAAGAGCUUGCUCUUACGGGUGGCGAGUGGCGGACGGGUGAGGAAUACAUCGGAAUCUACUUUUUCGUGGGGGAUAACGUAGGGAAACUUACGCUAAUACCGCAUACGACCUACGGGUGAAAGCAGGGGAUCUUCGGACCUUGCGCGAUUGAUUGAGCCGAUGUCGGAUUAGCUAGUUGGCGGGGUAAAGGCCCACCAAGGCGACGAUCCGUAGCUGGUCUGAGAGGAUGAUCAGCCACACUGGAACUGAGACACGGUCCAGACUCCUACGGGAGGCAGCAGUGGGGAAUAUUGGACAAUGGGCGCAAGCCUGAUCCAGCCAUACCGCGUGGGUGAAGAAGGCCUUCGGGUUGUAAAGCCCUUUUGUUGGGAAAGAAAAGCAGCAGGUUAAUACCCCGCUGUUUUGACGGUACCCAAAGAAUAAGCACCGGCUAACUUCGUG
rnacentral:rRNA from 1 species